rnacentral:rRNA from 1 species
AAGGCCAUUCAUGAGGCGAUUUUCCAAACUCCACAUGCAAUACAAAUGUUCAUCACUCGGUUUAUUGCAGACCUGGAAGCUAUCCGUACUCCUAAUCCUACACGGGCUCCGUUGGCAAGGACAGAACGGCCGCGGGCACCUCCGGCAACAUACGCCAAAAUCCAUGUUGAUGCAGGAGUACGCACCCGCAGAGGAGGAGCAGCCGUAGCCGUGUGCAGGGGUACCCAUGGCUUGUUCUUGGGUAGUUCGGCACUUGUCAUUCCAGGAAUUUGGGAUCCAGCCACACUGGAGGCGAUGGCAUGUCGUGAGGGCAUCGCAUUGGCAGAAGAUCUUAAUAUUCAGCGUUUUGUGUUGUCGUCUGAUUGCAACCAGGUGAUUGGGGACAUUGCCAAAGGAAACAAAGGACCCUACGGUGCCAUCAUCACGAAAAUUAUCUCUAGAUCGUCACCACUAUCUUGUACCUUUACUAUUGAAAGUCGUUGAUGUAAUUUCGAAGCUCAUAAGUUAGCUAAAUUUGCUUUGUCUUUAGCUCAGGGGUGUCAUGUAUGGCUUGGCCAGCCGCAUGACCAAACAUGUAUCCCACUUUCUGUGGAUUUUGAAUAA